rnacentral:rRNA from 1 species
ACGGGAGGCAGCAGUGAGGAAUAUUGCACAAUGGGGGAAACCCUGAUGCAGCGACGCCGCGUGAGUGAAGAAGUAUUUCGGUAUGUAAAGCUCUAUCAGCAGGGAAGAAAAUGACGGUACCUGAAUAAGAAGCCCCGGCUAACUACGUGCCAGCAGCCGCGGUAAUACGUAGGGGGCAAGCGUUAUCCGGAUUUACUGGGUGUAAAGGGAGCGUAGACGGCAUGGCAAGUCUGAAGUGAAAGCUCGGGGCUCAACCCCGGAACUGCUUUGGAAACUGUCAAGCUGGAGUACCGGAGAGGUAAGCGGAAUUCCUAGUGUAGCGGUGAAAUGCGUAGAUAUUAGGAGGAACACCAGUGGCGAAGGCGGCUUGCUGGACGGUAACUGACGUUGAGGCUCGAAAGCGUGGGGAGCAAACAGGAUUAGAUACCCUGGUA